CAAAUGUGGUGCCACUGUCUCAAGGAGUCCAUCUCUCGCUCCAAACCCUCGCCCAUCUUCGAAUUCAUCGAAAAACCUAAAUCCCUACCUCCAUCAAACGGAAAGUUGAAAUCUUUCUUGUUUGCGAGGAGGGAAGAAGGUGGCUAGUACGUAUGUCGCAGGUUAACGGGCUAAACAAUGCGGUUGGUCCCGAUUUCCAUCUGCCCGACGAGAUACUAUCGGUGAUACCCACCGACCCUUAUGAGCAGCUUGAUCUCGCUCGCAAGAUUACCUCCAUCGCGAUUGCAUCACGGGUUUCGAAGCUCGAGUUGGACAUGGGUCGGGUCAAAGAGAGGCUUUUUGAGAAGGACCGCAUAAUAUUCGCGCUCGAGGAGAAGGUCUCUGGUCUUAAUCAUGCGUGCCAGGAAGCUGAGUCCAGAUUGAAGGUCGCUCUUGAUGAGAAUAUAAAACUUACGCAGGAGAGGGAUCAAUUGGCAGUGACUGCAAAAAAGCUCAGUCGAGACUUGUCAAAGUUGGAAGCAUUUAAGAGACAGUUGAUGCAGUCCCUAAAUGAUGACAAUCAAUCUACUGAAACUGUUGAUAUUGGAACUUGUGACCAAUCUGUUCCAAAGGCAUAUCCUGAUAAGGGUGAAGAUGGCAGUGGCUGUGUGGUGCAUCAUUCAUAUAAUAGCUCUACUACUGUGUGUAACACAAUUGAUGAAGGUUCAAGAUAUGCUGGGAAUAGAUUUUCUAUUACUCCUUAUAUCACACCACGUCUUACUCCACAAGGAACUCCAAAGGUGAUCUCAACAGCUGGAUCUCCGAGAGGAUAUUCUGCAGUUGUAUCUCCUAAGAAAACUUCUGGUGCUACUUCUCCCACUAAACUCCCAUAUGAAGGACGGCAAUCACUAUCUUCUUGGUAUCCAUCAAGUCAGCAGUCGUCUGCAGCAAGCUCUCCUCCUCGUGCGAGAUCUCUUUCAGGCCGUACUCCAAGAAUUGAUGGAAAGGAGUUUUUCCGUCAAGCCAGGAGUCGUCUUUCCUAUGAGCAGUUUAGUGCAUUUCUGGCUAACAUUAAGGAAUUGAAUGCUCAGAAGCAAACACGAGAGGAAACUUUAAGAAAAGCAGAAGAGAUAUUUGGGACGGACAACAAAGAUCUUUUCCUAUCUUUCCAAGGAUUGCUCAGUCGCAAUGCACACUAGCACUGAAAGUAUUAUUGGCUGGGUAUAUAUAUAUAUAUAUAUUCAAGUUGCUCAUGGAUCAAACUUGACUUUCAAGUGGAUGUUCUAUGACUUGUUUCUUACUGUGAUCAGAAUCCAAGAUAGCAUUGAACUGAGUCAUAAAUUUGCGAUGACUGCAUGUUUCAUUCGUCUAGGCUUCAUUGUUGAUUGCUCCUGUUGAAUUCUAUGUAGAUAUAUCAUCUGCUGUUUGACAUGCUCAUUGCUCAGCAGGCUAAACUGCUAUUUGACUUUUGCAAAAUUUUGAUAUCUUCAACAUCGGCGUGAAGGGAAAUUCUCUUGGUUCAAUCUGGAAACUUUCUUUUCCUUCUAUUUGAUGGGCAAUUCACAAGAGUCUUGUUGUCUAUUUAACAUGGCUAAAUCUGAAUGUGCAGUAAUAUUGCACUGCCUACAAGAUUCAGGUGUAAAUAUUGAUGAUCUUGGGCUUUGGAUUCCGUAGUUGCCAUGACCGGAAGUUCCACUGUCUUUGAAAAAUAGGCUGACCAAACUAAGGACAACUAGACUUUAACAUGUCAUGCACAUUUUAUGGUAAUAUCUUUCUAGGACAUGGUUACAAGAUAUUAAUGAGUGCUUGAUGUAUUAUCUUUUAUAUAUUGAAUCCAAGAAUCUAACGAAGUGUGGUUUCUUUUA